GACGAACGCUGGCGGCGUGCUUAACACAUGCACGUCGAACGAAGUGGCGAACGGGUGAGUAACGCGUAAUCAACCUGCCCUUCAGAGGGGGACAACAGUUGGAAACGACUGCUAAUACCGCAUACUGAAGGCGGGGCUUGCGUCUGAUUAGCUAGUUGGAGGGGGAACGGCCCACCAAGGCGAUGCUCAGGCGCCGGUCUGAGAGGAUGAACGGCCAAAUUGGGAAUGAUACACGGCCCAGACUCCUACGGGAGGGAGCAGUGGGGAAUCUUACGCAAUGGACGAAAGUCUUACGGAGCAACGCCGCGUGAGUGAUGACGGCCUUCGGGUUGUAAAGCUCUGUUAAUCGGGACGCGGUACCGGAAUAGAAAGCCACGGCUAACUACGUGCCAGCAGCCGCGGUAAUUC
rnacentral:rRNA from 1 species